rnacentral:lncRNA from 1 species
GAUUGGGAAAGAACUUCAAGGGAAAAAGGACAGCUGAGUUUUUACUAACCAAGGGCAUGCCAAUGUCACUGCCAGAGUACAAAGGACCUGGAGGAGGGAGCUACUGGUCUCUCAGAGGUCACUGAGCUGUUCUCUGCACAAGCUGUUCUCUGGGAAGAAGGAGAGAGGAGCUGCUGAAGGGAGGCUUGCAUGCGGCUCCUGCUUCAUAUCCACCAGAACAACAGGGAAAGGCAGUAAGGAUGAAUGGAAAGGAGGUGGCUGAAGGCCGUCCUAGGGUUACAGCAGAGCAGGCGACUCUGCUACUGCAGAACCACACGACAGUGUGUCCUCUGCCAAGGCUGCCUUCCUGGAAGAGAAUUGCCGGGUUCACAGCACCUGCUCCCUUGCAACCUAGGGCUGCAUCUGCAGAGAUGGGACACAGGGACAACAUGCCUGUCCAUAGCUGGUGCUGCAAGGAUCUCCCCUCUCUCUAUUCCUGCCCACACAGGAUUAUGUAUGAGGCAGAGAUGGGUUCUCAGUGCUGCUGUGAGAUUUGAGCACCUGCUGGGUACAGAACUGAUAGUGGGCGAUGGCUGGUGGCAGACAAGGGACCUGGGGACACAGAAUGUGUCUGUGUUAAUUUGGGAGAGCCUUCUGGUCUUGCUUUCAUUAGCCUGGGCAGUCCAGAAGAGAAAGAAACACAUUUUAAAGGAAAAACAGAUUUAGCGAACAUUUACAGUAAAAACUGUCUGGAAAACGA